rnacentral:rRNA from 1 species
GACGAACGCUGGCGGCGUGCCUAAUACAUGCAAGUUGAGCGCUGAAGGUUGGUACUUGUACCAACUGGAUGAGCAGCGAACGGGUGAGUAACGCGUGGGGAAUCUGCCUUUGAGCGGGGGACAACAUUUGGAAACGAAUGCUAAUACCGCAUAAAAACUUUAAACACAAGUUUUAAGUUUGAAAGAUGCAAUUGCAUCACUCAAAGAUGAUCCCGCGUUGUAUUAGCUAGUUGGUGAGGUAAAGGCUCACCAAGGCGAUGAUACAUAGCCGACCUGAGAGGGUGAUCGGCCACAUUGGGACUGGGACACGGCCCAAACUCCUACGGGAGGCAGCAGUAGGGAAUCUUCGGCAAUGGACGAAAGUCUGACCGAGCAACGCCGCGGGAGUGAAGAAGGGUGUCGGAUCGUAAAACUCUGUUGGUAGAGAAGAACGUUGGUGAGAGUGGAAAGCUCAUCAAGUGACGGUAACUACCCAGAAAGGGACGGCUAACUACGUG